GGAGGAGGAGGACCUCAGUCAGAAAGAUGAGGGUUUUGGAAAAGAGCAGUGUAAGAGGUGUGGACAGGAGGUCCCCAUUCACCUCCUGGUCCAACAUCUAACACAACAUGAAAGCUGAUCCAGUAAGAAGUGUUCUGGUCCCUCAAAGCUUGACUGAGGGCCAAUUUAAAACAUUUAUAGAGGAGGAAUACCCCCAACUGAAGAGCAAGUCAUUCGACAUGUGCAGAGUCAAUAGACAACGUGUUGUAAUUCCACUGAUCGAGGGGACACCUAAAGCAAUACGAAACAGUGGAGUGCUGGGAAGGUCAGCUCUCUACCUCCGGCCAAGUGUAAGCUCACUA
ensembl:lncRNA